UGUGGAGAUCAGCGAAUGCCACUCCUAAGAACAUAUUCCAAAAUGCUUGCUGUGUGUGCAAUGGUGCAUUGUACCAGCUUCCAAGAGGUCCCCACAGUCAAUCAUGUGCCUGAUUUAAGAAAAUUUGUAUGAGAAUACAAUGGGCGAAACCAUUCUGAAAAGAAUGAAACUGCUAACACAAAACAUUAAAGCCAUGGGGUGAGAAUCAGCAAGAGGAAAAAUGAAUUUGUGAUGACUCAGGAGUUAUUAUCAGCAACAAACAAGGUUCACAAGUUAUUGCCGCAUGAAGCAUCUAUUCUAAUCCUUUCGAAGAGCAUUUACACACAAUGGAAUAGGGGUGAGCACAGAAAAGUGAUCAUUGAUCAAUUCCAAAU